rnacentral:rRNA from 1 species
GGAAGUACGACCGCAAGGUUGAAACUCAAAGGAAUUGGCGGGGGUCCGCACAAGCGGUGAAGCAUGUGGUUUAAUUCGAUGAUACGCGAGGAACCUUACCUAGGCUAGAAUGCAUUUUGACCGAGGGUGAAAGCUCUCUUUGUAGCAAUACACAAUUUGUAAGGUGCUGCAUGGCUGUCGUCAGCUCGUGCCGUGAGGUGUUGGGUUAAGUCCCGCAACGAGCGCAACCCCCAUCACUAGUUGCCAUCAGGUAACGCUGGGAACUCUAGUGAAACUGCCGUCGUAAGACGUGAGGAAGGAGGGGAUGAUGUCAAGUCAUCAUGGCCUUUAUGCCUAGGGCUACACACGUGCUACAAUGGGAAGGACAAAGGGUCGCGACAUAGUGAUAUGAAGCCAAUCCCAAAAACCUUCUCUCAGUUCAGAUUGGAGUCUGCAACUCGACUCCAUGAAGCUGGAAUCGCUAGUAAUCGUAUAUCAGCAAUGAUACGGUGAAUACGUUCCCGGACCUUGCACACACCGCCCGUCAAGCCAUGGAAGCUGGGUGUACCUAAAGUCGGUAACCGAAAGGAGCCGCCUAGGGUAAAACUAGUGACUGGGGCU